rnacentral:rRNA from 1 species
CGCCGAAAAUGAACGGGGCUAAAACGAUCUGCCGAAGCUGCGGGUUUUAACUACUGUUAAAGCAGUAGGGGAGCGUUGUGUACCGGGUUGAAGGGAAGGUGGAAACCGACCUGGACUGUACACAAGUGAUUAUGCAGACAUGAGUAACGAUAAGAGUGGUGAGAAUCCACUCCGCCGAAAUCCUAAGGAUUCCUGGGGAAGGUUCGUCCGCCCAGGGUUAGUCGGCCCCUAAGGCAAGGCUGAAAAGCGUAGUCGAUGGGAAACGGGUUAUUAUUCCCGUACCACCUUAUAGGAGUGAUGGAGGGACGCAGCAGGUUAGCUCAGCCGCCGAUUGGAAAUGGCGGUCUAAGAGUGUAGGCGAUUCCGUAGGUAAAUCCGCGGAUGUUAGCUGAGACUCGAUGGGACAGGGCGACUUCGGUCAAACUGGAUUGAGUGACACUGUACUGCCAAGAAAAGCUUCUAAACGUUGAAUAUAAGGUGACCGUACCAAAACCGACACAGGUAGGAGGGUAGAGUAUACCAAGGCGCGCGAGAGAAAGGUUGUUAAGGAACUCGGCAAAUUAACCCCGUAUCUUCGGAAGAAGGGGUCCUGCCGGAGGCUAGGGACUUGCUCCCGAUGUUUCCAGCAGGCGCAGUGAAGAGGCGAAGGCGACUGUUUAUCAAAAACAUAGCACUAUGCGAACUCGCAAGAGGAAGUAUAUGGUGUGACACGUGACCAAUGCCAAAAGGUUAAGGCAAGGGGUUAGCAUUAGCGAAGCUCUAAACCGAAGCCCUGGUGAAUGUCGGCCGUAACUAUAACGGUCCUAAGGUAGCGAAAUUCCUUGUCGGGUAAGUUCCGACCUGCACGAAUCGUGUAACGAUCUUCGCACUGUCUCAACAACCAUCUCGGUGAAGUUGUAGUUCCGGUGAAAAUGCCGGAUAACCGCGGCAGGACGGAAAGACCCCGUGAACCUUUACUGUGACCUGACAUUGGAUUUUAAUAUUUCAUAUGUAGGAUAGCUGGGAGGCUUUGAAGCAUCUUCGUCAGGAGAUGUGGAGCCAAUGGUGAAAUACCAGUUUUGGCCUAUUGGAAUUCUAACUACGAUCCCCUGAAUCGGGGCGUGGAACAGUGUCUGGGAGUCAGUUUGACUGGGGCGGUUUCCUCCUAAAGAGUAACGGAGGAGCACAAAGGUACCCUCAGCACGGUCAGCAAUCGUGCGAAGAGCGUAUAGGUAUAAGGGUGCUUAACUGCGAGACCUACAAGUCGAGCAGGUGCGAAAGCAGGUCUAAGUGAUCCGGUGGUUGCUAGUGGUAGCGCCAUCGCUUAACGGAUAAAAGGUACUCCGGGGAUAACAGGCUGAUGAUUGCCAAGAGUCCACAUCGACGCAAUCGUUUGGCACCUCGAUGUCGGCUCAUCGCAUCCUGGGGCUGGAGAAGGUCCCAAGGGUUGGGCUGUUCGCCCAUUAAAGCGGUACGCGAGCUGGGUUCAGAACGUCGUGAGACAGUUUGGUCCUUAUCCGCCGUGGUCGCAGGAAGUUUGAAGAGAUUAAUCCUUAGUACGAGAGGACCAGGAUUAACGUGCCUCUGGUGUUCCAGUUGUCGUGCCAACGGCAUCGCUGGGUAGCUACGCACGGGAAGGAUAAGCGCUGAAAGCAUCUAAGUGCCAAGCCCCCUCUAAGAUAAGACUUCCCUUGU